CGCGUCUGGACUGUGCGCACGCGGAGCGCGCGGAAGCCGGGCGGGGAGGGAGGGGCGCCCGCCCGCCGGUCCCCUUCCCGGGACUGGCAGGCCCCGCCUUUCAUCUUUUCAUCGUUUGGAGCCCCUUUCCCGGAAAUCCCGAUGUCUGCUGCACACGGGUCUCUACCGGUUAGGGAUUAAGAGUGAGUCGGCAGGAGUCAAACAGAGUGAGAAGGCUUAAUUCACAGGCCCCUAGACACUGAACGUGAGAGGGUAGAAGAAAGGCUUUUUUCCUCCUCUGCUGACCUAAAGGAAAUAAUACGGAAUAUUGGAACAAGUGCUGAUCAAAGAGAAGCAUCUCUGGAAUGCCUCCUGAGCCAGGCAUCACGACAGGUGGAGCUCCCAAGACACAGUCUCUGCCCAUCAGAGUUCAUCCUGCGUGGAAGACACACGCUGACAGGCAGAGGCCAGUUCCCAGCCAGCUGUGCGGGGGCUCAGGGGCCACGGCGUGGGGAGCCCGAGAGCUGAUGGAAGAAGAUAUAUUAAUAGACAGAGCUGAGUUGAUGACAUCGACAAUGAAAACAGUAUUGCAAAGAGCCUGAAAGUAAUCUAGUUGCAGAGUCAUCUAUCAAAACGGCUCCCUGCUUGCAUGUACAUGGAUGAAGGCUGCAGCACUGCCUGAAAUGGCAUAAGCCCUGCCACUCCUCAGAAGUCCAUCACAGGAGGGAGGGAAAGAGGACAUGUGGAGGUGUGUCCGUCUGCGCACUGGGAGAAUCUUGUAGGGGACGCACGACGAGAAGCUGGUUAUCCUAAGGGAGCCUUGUCGCUGGAGUGGGCUUUUUCAUUUUGUACCAUAAGCUGAGCCACAUGUGAAAAAAAUAAAUUAAAAUGUUAAAAGGCUUUGUUAGGUCCACAAACCACAACUACUGGUCAAGAAAGGACAGGAACCUGACGGGAUGGUUUCACUUUUCUCCCAGCGGCCUUCUCAUACCUGGGUAUCUGUUUUAUUCAACCCCCAACAGGGCCUCCCAAACCAUCGGUGCUGAAAGACCAGCUUUGUUUUGCUUUUUAUUUCCCCAAUGCCUUGCAGACCGAUACUUUAAUAGAAUCAAUAAAAAUGGAUUACUGGAAAAAUGAAAUUAAAGAACAACAAAGACAUAUCAAAUUCAAGGUCCAAUAUUUUUAUUAUUAGAUCGAACAGACAUUAAAUUCCUCUGUCUGUCAAAUUGCUUUUAAA
rnacentral:lncRNA from 1 species